rnacentral:miRNA from 1 species
AUGUGGUGUGUGUAUAUGUAUGCAUGUAUUUGUAUACACACACACACACACACACACACACACACACACACAA